rnacentral:tRNA from 1 species
GCUUUUGGUUCAGCGGUAGAAUGCUUGCCUGCCAUGCGGGCGCCCCGGAUUCGAUUCCCGGCCGAUGCA